GCGCUAGAUUACAAGGCAAGGCGUCCAGGUUCAGAGCUUCUUUCUUCUUCGUUUGGUUUUGUAGAUAUCAAAAUCUCUUUGCUACUGUGCUAAUAGGAUUUGGCUUAAUCUGGAGAUUAUAGAGCCGCGGUUUAUUUGUUUCGGCGGUUAACUCGUUCCUUGUUUCUUCUAUUAACAAUCUUUCAUGAUUCGUUGUUUUUGGGGUUGGAUGAUUUGAUUUUGAUGGAGAUCGAUCGAUUGUGGUUUUUUUGUUGGUGCAUGUGAUUUAGGACUGGACUGGUUUGAAGGCGGUGGAUGCAUGCCAAGGACUAUAUAAUAUAAGCAAACGGUUUUGUAAAUCGGUUUAAUUGGUUUGCAGAGAUGGAAUUACUGUUUCGUUAAAAAUCUUUAUAACUUCUCAGAAAAACCUUGACUCGAUAUGGAUUUGUGAUGCAUCGUGGUUUUGUUGAUGUGUUACUAGGAUUUGGCCCGUGAAGGCUGCAGUCCGUACAUAUAGCCAUGGGCAGAGCUUCGGCUUACACGGAUUAUAUCUGAUCUCUUCACCUUCCUUUUAUACUAUUUAAUACUAUUAUGUGAUUUUGGCUGCCUCCUUCGACUGAGUUAUGGAUGGAUUUUGUUCCUAUUGGUAUAGGAUACGGCUCGGUGGCGGCGGCUAGGAGGUUUCUUGUUCUAUUCGGUUUCAGUGAUCAACUCAUUCCUUCUUGAUUUGAUACCUUGGUUUUGGCAGUGAUCAACUCUAUAACACAUUCUUUUCAAUAUUUGUUGAAACCUGGGUUUUGGCACGUUUUAGAUCUAAGUGGAUCAAGUUUUUUCUUGCUCUGUUUUAGGGUGUGCGGGCUAGCAGCUGCGGUGCUUCGACUCUCUUUGGUUUCCAGAAUCAAUUUAUUCCAUUCAAUUAUCUUUCAUUUUUUUCCCAAACCUUAUCUUGAUUUUAAUUUUAGGAUUUGUCUGCUGUAUUGGUAGGUGCAAGUACUGGACAGAGUAAAAAUAUGUUCAUUCGGCUGUAUUUGGUUUGCCGAUCGACUGUUAUUUCUUUCAAAAUCUCAACUUUUUUUUCCCCUAAUUUUUUCUUCACCUGUCUGCUCUGGUUUAGAUCGAGUUUUUAUUUGUGUUCUUUAAUUAGGAAAAUUUUGGAGUUUUGGCGGCGGUAUUUGCAAUGGCUAUACAAGCAGGAUUUGGGGUUUUUCAGUUGGUUUCAUCGGUUCCUUCUUAAUUAACUUUCUAUCUUUUUAAAAUAAACUUUUUUCCUUCGGUUCUUUUCGCGCUCAUGCUACAUUUAUUGAUGUGUAUCAGGGAUUGGCUUACCAAGCAGGAGUUCCCUGGUUUCUGCGAUUUGUUCUUUCCUUCAAAUCUUUUCUUUCAAAUUUUUUUUUUUUCAAAAUGUUUGUUGAUUCUUUUUUUUUCUUUAUCUUUCAUAAAUAGUGUUUGGUUUUUAUUUACAGAUGCUGAAUUUGUAAAGGAUUCUCCAAUUCUGAAAUCAUACGAGUGACGUUAAAACGGUUGGGUACUGAUAGCACUCUGUUUUGGUCCGCAUUAUUGUAUUCUGUAUGUGGAUAUGGUUUUAUUGCUAGGAGUAGGGAUUCAUGCAUGAAGGAGUUCUUGGCUUACCGUUUAGUUCAACAAUGAUAUGAUGGAAUUAUGUUCUGCAUGUGCAGGGUUGUUAGAGGAGGUUGUAAAAUUAAGGAAAUGCACUUCAUGAGGGGGUUUGAUUCUUCUUGGCUAAAUAUGUUAAUUACAGAAUCUUUACUUGAGAAAUUCUGAAGUCUUUCAACAUUCUGAACUUCAUGGAUGAUACAUAGGGGUGAUGUGUAUUUUCAGGAUUGAAGAGGACGUCUAUUAAUAUUUAUAGAAUUACAACGCUACACUUGCUGUUAUUAGAUAUUGAAAUUGGAUUUUCGCUUUGUUGGUGUUCUAAUAAAAGCCGACUCAUCCCUUUGCUAAUAUGUUACUCCUCUUAAAAUCUUUCCUUAUUUGUUGUUUUGUGGUUGGAUUUCGGUUUUGAUGGAGAACGGUUAUGGUUUUGUGGUUUUUGUUGCUGCUGUGAUCUUAGGGUUUGGCUUAAUUUGGAGAUGGCUGCAGAUGUUAGACACGGAUGAUUGGUUUUGGCGGUUAACUCGUUCCGUUCCUUGACUAAUUUUUUUCAUCUCUUAACAAUCUUUCAUGAUUCAUUGUUUUUGGAGUUGGAUGAUUCGAUUUUUAUGGAGAUCGAUUCUGGUUUUUGUUGGUGUGAUUUAGGACUGGACUGGUUUGGUGGUGAUGGCUGACGCGGUCUAUAUAAGCAAACGGCUUUGUAAAUCGGUUUAUUGGUUUGCAGAGAUCGAAUUAUUGUGUCGAUUCCUUCCCAGAAAUCGUAGUUUUAUUGAUGUGAUUUUAGGAUUUGGCCGAUGAAGGUUGCAGUCCGUACAUAUAGCAAUGGCCAGAGCUGCGGCUUCUAUCGGUUUACUCGGAUUAAUUUUGCUAUUUUUACCUUCCUUUGAAACUAUUAACUUCUUUAUCUGCCUCCUAAGAUCUGAGUUAUGGAUGGAUUGUGUUCCUAUUGGUUUAGGAUACGGCUCGGUGGUGGUGGUGGUGGUGGCUAGAAGAUUUUGUUCUCAGGCUUAAUCGGUUUUCAGGGAUCAACCUUCUAAAUAUUUGUUAAAUACCUUGGUUUGGCAGUGAUCAACUCAUUCCUUCGCAAUAUUUUUUGGAACUUUGGUUUUGGGCAUGUUUUAAAUCUAAGUGUAUCAAAGUUUUUCCUUGCUCUGUUUUAGGUGUGCUGGUAUUGUGCUCGUGAUGACUAGCAAGCAGCUGUGGUGGUUCGUGUGCUUGAGCUUCCUUUGGUUUCCUAAAUCAAUCUAUUUCAUUCAAUCAUCUCCCAAUUCCCAUUCUUUUCUAAACCCUAUUUUGAUUUUGACUCAAGGAUUUGGCUGGUAUUGGUAGGUGCAAGUGCUGGGCAGAGUUAAAUUAUGUGAUUCGGCUGUAUUUGGUUUGGCAAUCAAUCAUUCUUUUUUUCAAAUCUCUCUCUUUUUUUUUUUCUUUUUUUUGUCUUCAGGUGUCUGCACUUGUUUAGAUUGAGUUGUUAUUGGUGUUCUUUAAUUAGGAGAAUUUUGGAGUUUCGGCUGCAGUGUUUGCAAUACAAGCAGGAUUUGGGGUUUAUCAGUUGGUUUCAUCGGUCAAACCUGUUCCUUUUUAAUAAACUUUCUACCUUUUUUAUAAUAAAAUUUUGCUUGAAUUCUUUUUGCACUCGUGCUACUUUUAUUGAUUUGUAUCAGCAGGAGUUCCCUGGUUUCUGCGAUUUGUUUGUUCCUUCAAAUCUUUUAUCUUUAUCAAAAUGUUCGAUCAACAGCUGUGGUGCUUCGUGUGCUACUUAAUUCAUUUCACUCCCCAGGGCUUCCCACUCUGCUAAAAGCUAUGGAACGAAGUCUGCGGCACAGGCCAACUCUCGACUCUCUUUGGUUUCCAGAAUCAAUUUAUUCCAUUCAAUUAUCUUCCAUUUUUUCCCAAACCUUAUCUUGAUUUUGAUUUUAGGAUUUGUCUGCUAUAUUGGUAGGUGCAAGCACUGGGCAGAGUAAAAAUAUGUUCAAUCGGCUGUAUUUGGUUUGGCGAUCGACUGUUAUUUCUUUCAAAAUUUCUACUUUUUUUUCCCUAAUUUUUUCUUCACCUGUCUGCUCUGGUUUAGAUUGAGUUGUUAUUGGUGUUCUUUAAUGAGGAGAAUUUUGGAGUUUUGGCGGCAGUAUUUGCAAUGGCUAUACAAGGCUACAAGCAGGAUUUGGGGUUUUUCAGUUGGUGUCAUCGGUUCCUUAAUUAACUUUCUAUCUUUUUAAAAUAAUAUUUUUUCCUUCUGUUCUUUUCGCAGCGCUCAUGCUACAUUUAUUGAUGUGUAUCAGGGAUUGGCUUACCAAGCAGGAGUUCCCUGGUUUCUGCGAUUUGUUCUUUCCUUCAAAUCUUUUAUUUCUUUUUCAAAAUGUUUGUUGAUUCUUGUUUUUCCUUUAUCUUUCAUAAAAUAGUGUUUGGUUUUUAUUUACAGAUGCUGAAUUUGUAAAGGAUUCUCCAAUUCUGAAAUCAUACUGAGUAACGUUAAAACGGUUGGGUACUGACAGCACUCUGUUUUGGUCCACAUUAUUGUAUUCUGUAUAUGGAUAUGGUUUUAUUGCUAGGAGUAGGGAUUCAUGCAUGAGGGAGUUCGUUCUUGGCUUACCGUUUAGUUCAACAAUGAUAUGAUGGAAUUAUGUUCUGCAUGUGCAGGGUUUAGAGGAGGUUGUAAAAUUAAGGAAAUGCACUUCUUCAUGAGGGGGUUUGAUUCUUCUUGGCUAAAUAUGUUAAUUACAGAAUCUUUACUUAGAAAUUCUGAAGUCUUUCAACAUUCUGAACUUCAUGGAUGAUAUAUAGGGGUGGUGUAUUUUCAGGAUUGAAGAGGACGUGUAAUAAUAUUUAUAGAAUUACAACGCUACACUUGCCGUUAUUAGAUAUUGAAAUUGGAUUUUCGCUUAGCUGGUGUGCUAAUAAAAGCCAAUUCAUCCAGUCAUCCCCUUGCUAAUAUGUUACUCCUCUUAAAAUCUUUCCUUAUUUGUUGUUUUGUGGUUGGAUUUCUCGGUUUUGAUGGAGAAUGGUUAUGGUUUUGUGGUUUUUGUUGCUGCUGUGAUCUUAGGGUUUGGCUUAAUUUGGAGAUGGCUGCAGAUGUUACACACACGGAUGAUUGGUUUUGGCGGUUAACUCAUUCUGUUCCUUGGCUAAUUUGUUUCAUCUCUUAAAAAUCUUUCAUGAUUCAUUGUUUUUGGGGUUGGAUGAUUUGAUUUUGAUGGAGAACGAUUCUGGUUUUUGUUGGUGUGAUAUAGGACUGGACUGGUUUGGUGGUGAUGGCUGACGCGGUCUAUAUAAGCAAACGGCUUUGUAAAUCGGUUUAUUGGUUUGCAGAGAUCGAAUUAUUGUGUCUUUAAUUUCUUUAUUCCUUCCCAGAAAUUGUAGUUUCAUUGAUGUGAUUUUAGGAUUUGGCCGGUGAAGGUUGCAGUCCGUACAUAUAGCAAUGGCCAGAGCUUCGGCUUUUAUCGGUUCACUCAGAUUAAAUCUGCUAUUUUUACCUUCCUUUGAAACUAUCAACUUCUUUAUCUGCCUCCUAAGAUCUGAGUUAUGGAUGGAUUGUGUUCCUAUUGGUUUAGGAUACGGCUCGGUGGUGGUGGUGGUGGUGGCUAGGAGAUUUUGUUCUCAGGCUUGAUCAGUUUUCAGGGAUCAACCUUCUAAAUAUUUGUUAAAUACCUUGGUUUGGCAGUGAUCAACUCACUCCUUCGCUAUAUUUUUUGAAACUUUGGUUUUGGGCAUGUUUUAAAUCCUAGUGUGUCAAAAGUUUUUCCUUGCUCUGUUUUAGGUGUGCGGGUAUUGUGCUGGUGAUGGCUAGCAAGCAGCUGUGGUGCUUCGUGUGCUUGAGCUUCCUUUGGUUUCCUAAAUCAAAUCUAUUUCAUUCAAUCAACUCCCAAUUCCCAUUAUAUCUAAACCCUGUUUUGAUUUAAGGAUUUGGCUGGUAUUGGUAGGUGCAAGUGCUGGGCAGAGUUAAAUUAUGUGAUUCAGCUGUAUUUGGUUUUGGCAAUCAAUCAUUUUUUUUUUCUUUCAGGUGUCUGCUCUGGUUUAGAUGAGUUGUUAUUGGUGUUCUUUAAUUAGGAGAAUUUUGGAGUUUCGGCUGCAGUGUUUGCAAUACAAGCAGGAUUUGGGGUUCGUCAGUUGGUUUCAUCGGUCAAACCUGUUCCUUUUUAACAAACUCUACCUUUUUAAAAUAAAAUUUUGCUUGAAUUCUUUUUGCACUCAUGCUACGUUUAUUGAUUUGUAUCAGGGAUUAAAUCCUUUUUGUUAUCUUCUUUCUCUUCCAAAACCUCAUUAUUUUUUCAUGGGUGUAUUUCGGAUGGCUGGAAGUACUGGGCAGGAGUUGAAUAGUGUUUUUUGGCUUUAUUUGGUUUGGGCGAUCAACUCGUAUUUUACUGUUAAAAUUCUCUUAAAAGUCUUUUUUUUUUUUUCUUGUUAACCAGUAUAGGAGGAUUUUUCAUACAAUGACGAGUUGUCGAUUUUCAGCACUCAUCUCAUUCCUACGCAAUAGACCUUUUUACUGAAUACUUUAUUUGGCUCAUGUUAGUGUAUCAGGGUUUGGUUUCACACAGUCGGAGAAUCUGCACUUCUGCUUUCCGGGUUUCUGGCUUGUACUUUCUCAAACCUUUUGUGAUUGUGGAUUUUUUUUUCUUUUCGGCUUUAUGCUUCUAUUUGGCUCAAGGAUCCAACUUUCAGAUCAUAGGGAUUGAGGUUAAAAUGGUUUGGCACACUGACAUCCACUAGUUUCACCCCACAUAUUGUAUGUCAUAAAUCAUGGUGGUUUUAUUGCUAGGACUAGGAUCAUUCAUGUAGGAAAAGGUUUGAUGAUUCUUGGGUUACAAUUUAGUGUUUGCAAGUUUUCUUUUUAUGGAUUAGCAAGUCAUUCAGCAAUCACAUUUGGAGUGUUGGUCUGCAUGUGCCUUUCAGGGUUGUGAGAGGAGCUGCCAUGGUUGAAGGUACUUCUUCAGGAAGGUGUUUGAUGCUUCUUGGCUCGAGUUUAAUUUCAUAAAAUUUCAAUUGAGUAACCUUUAGUCUUUCAACAGAUACUGAACUUCCAAAUGAUGGGUGAUGGAUAUUAGUGUUACCCUUAAGUGCUAAUAGCGGGGCAGGAGUACAACUCUGUGCUUUGGUUUCAUUUGUUCUAGGCAAUCAACUUGACUUUGUCAAGAGUUCAAUUCUGAUCACAUUACUUUGUUGUUUCUCAAAAUCUUGUCAUUUUCAAAAUAUUGUCGUUUUUGGUGGAGUUGAUCGAAAUAUGUGUCAGCUUCUGUUGUGUUUUGAUUGUGGGGCAUGAUUUUCUUUGUGUACAACUUCGCUCAUGCUGUCUAAACCAAGUUCUGAAAAUUUUGAUUCCCAUGAUUGGAACUUAUUGAUCAUGGAGUAUGGAUUUCUGAAGGAGGGGUGUGAAUGUGUGAUGCUUCUUGGCUUACAAUUUAGUUUUUGAAAAUGUUUCAAUGUAGAAUGGACCCCUGAAGUGGAAUGAUUGAAUAUUGCUGUGUCUAUUUCAGGUUGUGAAGGGAGUACGUAUCUCUUCAGAAAUAAGGGUUUGAUGUUUCUUGUCUUGGACCAAGUCUUUGUUGGUUUUCAAUUGCCUGUUCGGUUAAUUAGAUAGAGAUAGUUAUGAUAUUACUGAUGUGUUUUAGGGUUUGGAAUUGGUGUGGUUGGUGGCUGCGGAUGCAAGUGGUUGUGUGUUUUUUGGUCUAUGGUUGCAGGGAGUUGAUUUAUUCAUUUGUUAAUUUCUUUUUGGUUUUUCUAAUCUACAAAUGAGAUGUUGAUAUUUUCUCUAAUUGUUCUUGCUUUAGGAUUUGGCUGCUGUGUGAUGGUGGGCAAUGUCUUAUACACGCAGGAUUAUUUCUUUGCUUUCAAGGGUCAACUCAUUCCUUUCAAAAAAAAAUUUUCACUACUUGUUUUCAGGCCCAGCAUUGUGGUUACGGUCUUUCUUGGUGUUUUUAGAUUUGGCCUGCAGGAGAAAUUUUUGCUUCAGUUCUGUUUGUUUUGGUGGUCAACUGAUUGUAAAGCAAGAGUUCUUUUCCAACAAAUUCUUAAAAUUUUCAAUCUAGUAUAGACUUGAUGUGAAUAUGUGAAUCAUGGAUGGUGUUUGUGGACAGUAUUUGAUGGCCAGAGGAUUUUGGAUAUCUGCAUGAGGGGGUUUGUUGGUUUGUUAUGAAUGUGGAGCUCUGAAUCAUUCACAAAGUAUGGGAACUCGGUUUUGAGGAGGAGGUUGUCAGUUGUCACAGCACUAUGCAUCUCUUAAAGAGGGGGUUUGAUGCUUCUUGUCUUAAGAUUUAGAUUUUCCAAUAUUGGGUUUCUGUGUACUUUCAAUAAUUCAAUCAAUAUUUGGUUCUUCUCAGGUUUCUAAUUAGAAUAUUUAUUGAGAAGGUCUCUGCAUUUUUGACAAAUUUCUAUCCAAGUAUCAAACCUUGAAUUUGGUGGGUUGUGGUGUUGGACUUGCUACUGCUUUCUAUUCAGGAUUCUUGGACAGCCUAUUCCUGUAGCAGGUUUGAGUAUUUUGCUUGGAGUUUUUACAAAGAUAUGCAUCUCUAGAUAUCAUUGCAUUAUUCUCAUCGGUUGUGUUCUUGGGGUUUGGCUGGUAUUUGGAGAGACUGUUGAUGUUUGUAUAGUGAGCGCUUCUGUGAUACAGUUGUUUGGUUUUUGGUGUCAUUUACUACUUGCUAGGUUUAGAAUGUUUUUCUUGUUUCCACUACCUGCUAGAUUUAGAAUGGAUUGUGGUUGUUAUUGGUGUCCUUCAGGAGGAUUAUGGCUGCGUCGGUGGUGGCUACAGAUUUUUCUUCCGAGGUUUCAUUGGUUUAUUAUCCUCACUGCAGUUUUGGAACAAAAGGUGUUUCUGAAUUCUUCCUUGGCUCAUGCACAUGUUGUUGUGUAUUAGGCGUAUUAGGCUUAGCAAGCAACUUCUUUAUCAGUUUUGGCCAUUAAUUUAUCAUUUUGUUAUCUUUCGGUGACUUUCACUUGGGUUGCUUUUUUAACUACAGAUGCUGCUGUAUUUCUUCAGAGGGGGUACGAUUUCCUCAAUGCUGAAUAAGGGUUGGUAUUACUUGUCUUCAUCUCAUAGUGGUUGCUUAUGCUUCCUUGUCACUUGUUUCUGUUGUUAGGUAUGAUUAAAUUUUUGAAGUUUCCAGGUUGUAUUAUUGAACUCAAUAGGGGAAGCUGUUUUCUGGUUUAUCACUUCUUUUGGUUAUUAGUGUAGGAGGAUUUAGACUGCUCUAUCACUGGUGUCUAAACAUCGGGUUCACUCAUGUGUUUCUGCUUUAUUCUGUGGCCACUUCAUUGCUGCACUUAUGUUUGUUCUUUCCCUGGUCCAUUGGCAUGGUGAGCUGGAGUUUGGGUGGUUCAGCUGUGUUUGGGAUUUUUAUCAACAGAUGCUGUGUGAUUUCGCGAAAAGAUAAUCACUAAAUAGAUUUCCCUUGAAAGAGUAUCUUAUGAUUCUGAAUUGUUUAAUGAAGUAAAGACUGCUUAUUAAAAUUUGUAUGGGGUCUGCUGUAGGGGUUUAGUUGCUUCUUUGCCCUAAUUUUUUAUCAUACCAACAGUAAUCUGACCUCCCAACUGAUGGUGAUAGUGUUGUCUAUGUUCAGGUUUGGUAGAGAAGAUUUCUUUCCAAGUGUGGGUUUUGAUUUUGGUUGGUCUGUUGGUAAGACGGGCAGAUUUGUGGUCCGGGGGUCAAUUUGAUUCCUAUGUUCUCAUAUUAUUGAUUGCUACAACAAUUUGGCUGUGAUGUCUAAUGGUAUUUGCUGCAUUGUAUUCGAAGGGUUUUUCACCUAUUCUACUGGUCAUUGCUACCUGUAAUUUUUGCCAGUAGUAUUGUUUUUGCUGCCUUUGGAGUUGGUUGUGUGGUAGUGUGAUGAUAUCAGGUUUCAGUGUUGAAACUGGCUGGCAGAAGUUGUUCAUCUGCAGACAGAUAAUUCAGUAGUUUCUGCUCUUCUGGUUGAUGUCUGCUUGGGUGAUGUCUUCUUGUUGUUAAAAGUGCUGGUUGAUAUAUAGUUCUCGAGUAUAAAACAGUUGUUUGUUGAAUGAAGAUCAUUUAUGUUCUUCUCUGUGCCUCGUCAAGUGUCAUAUGAGGAACUCUGAAAUGAAGAUCAUUUUAUGUUGUCUCAUUAUUCAAAAAUUGGCUUGGUGUUGACCUCUAGUGUUCGCAACAAGAGGGUCGUCUGCUUUUAUAGUAGUUGGUGUUUGCGCUGCAUUAUCUGUAUUGAGCUGCAUUCCUCUUCUCCAAGUUGUCUCCACGUUGGAUACCUUGUUUACUCUCUUCUCUGGUGGUGGUUUUAUGCUUUGGAGUUGGUUUGUUUGGGGCAUGAUGAUGCUAUGUUUUCGAGCUCGGUUGAACUUUGGUUCUGUCUUAUAUCUAACGACUAGUGCUAUGAUUAAUGUGCACCGAGUUUAUUAGGUUUAGGUUUGUAUAUAUUAAGAAAUGUGUGGUUGAAUGCUAUUUGCUUGGUGGAAAAUAUUACCAAUUGUGUAAUGCUAUGAUUAGGUUUGUAGGAUGUAAUUACUAGGUAGUUAAUUAGGUUAGGUUAA